rnacentral:rRNA from 1 species
GAUGAACGCUGGCGGCGUGCCUAAUACAUGCAAGUCGAGCGAACGGACGAGAAGCUUGCUUCUCUGAUGUUAGCGGCGGACGGGUGAGUAACACGUGGAUAACCUACCUAUAAGACUGGGAUAACUUCGGGAAACCGGAGCUAAUACCGGAUGAUAUUUUGAACCGCAUGGUUCAAAAGUGAAAGACGGUCUUGCUGUCACUUAUAGAUGGAUCCGCGCUGCAUUAGCUAGUUGGUAAGGUAACGGCUUACCAAGGCAACGAUGCAUAGCCGACUGAGAGGGUGAUCGGCCACACUGGAACUGAGACACGGUCCAGACUCCUACGGGAGGCAGCAGUAGGGAAUCUUCCGCAAUGGGCGAAAGCCUGACGGAGCAACGCCGCGUGAGUGAUGAAGGUCUUCGGAUCGUAAAACUCUGUUAUUAGGGAAGAACAUAUGUGUAAGUAACUGUGCACAUCUUGACGGUACCUAAUCAGAAAGCCACGGCUAACUACGUG